AAUAGUUUUUUAAAUGGAAACUGGGAUGAAGGAAGUGAUGAGAUUUAUACUGUCUUAAGUUAAUAAAUUGAAUUUAUUAAUUAAGUAAAAAUACUUAAAUAUAAAUAUGGGACGAGAAGACCCUAUAGAAUUUUAUAUAAAUUUAUUAUAUAAGUUUAGUUAGAUAUUAGUAGGUUUGUAUUUUGUUGGGAGGAUAAUUAAAUUAUAAAAACUUUAAAAGUAUUUAGACAUUAAUUUAUGGAUGUAAAAAAUAAUGAAUGGCUAUUUAGUUUGAGUAGAAUUAAUUACCUUAGGGAUAACAGCGUAAUAUCUUUAGAGAGAUCUUAUUAAUAGAGAUUAUUGC
rnacentral:rRNA from 1 species